ACGAACGCUGGCGGCGCGCCUAACACAUGCCAGUCGAGCGAUGAAAUUUUAACCGAUCUCUUCGGAGAGAAGCUAAAAUGGAUUAGCGGCGGACGGGUGAGUAACACGUGAGAAACCUGCCUUUCACAAGGGGAUAGCCUCGGGAAACCGGGAUUAAUACCCUAUGACACAUUUCCUUCGCAUGGAAGAAAUGUUAAAACUCCGGUGGUGAAAGAUGGUCUCGCGCCUGAUUAGCUAGUUGGUGGGGUAACGGCCCACCAAGGCCAUGAUCAGUAACCGGCCUGAGAGGGUGAACGGUCACAUUGGAACUGAGACACGGUCCAAACUCCUACGGGAGGCAGCAGUGGGGAAUAUUGCACAAUGGAGGAAACUCUGAUGCAGCGACGCCGCGUGAGCGAUGAAGGCUUUCGAGUCGUAAAGCUCUGUCCUAUGGGAAGAUAAUGACGGUACCAUAGGAGGAAGCCCCGGCUAACUACGUG
rnacentral:rRNA from 1 species